rnacentral:lncRNA from 1 species
AAAAUAUUUUAAAGCAGUAAAUGCAGUCAGUACAGAGAGAUCCCUGGGAGCCUUUCUAUUCAAAAAUGUGUGAGCUCAGGGCAGCGACUGCAAUGUAAUUUAGGGCAGUGUAUGCUUCAUAGCUUUGGAGAAUAUUGCUUCCCACUAAUGUUCCAUCAGAGGAUGGUAGGAUAGUAGUAAUUUUAGAAGGUGGUAUUCCUGUUUGUCUUACAUCGAAAACUUCAGAAUAAAUAAAAGGACAUAUCAACUGAGCAAGAAAUGUAACUAUGGAAAAGUACCAAUGAAUCUAAAUUUGAACUGAACAGAUACAAAAUCAGCAUGGGUGUAGGAAUAUUUUUAAGGAGGAAGCUACAGCAAAAGCGACUUCCCAGGGAAUGGACCUCACAGGAAAUUGCGAUACAUUGGAACAGCCUCAGCCUAGAUUUCUGUUAUACUUGGAAUGCCAUGCCUUGUACUAUAAAAUACAGCGUUAAAAU